GGAGCUCACAGUCUAGGAAGAAAAAAGACAAAUAAAAUUAUACCAAUAUAAUGAAUGCAGUUCCAUGGCAUAUGAAGAGUGUUAUAGAAACACAGAGCAAAGAUGUAACCCUACCUAGUGUCAAAGGAGACUACACAGAAGAUGGUGCAUUAGAAGGAAGAGAAAGAAUUGGCUGCACCAACAGGAGGAGGGGAAAGGACCUUCUGAGAAAGAGAAGAGUGUGUGCAAAGCAGUGGAGGCCUCAGGGAGGAUGGUGGUCUGCUAAUACUGAGUUUAGUGUGGUUGUCUUUGUCUUACAUUGCUUGCAGGGAAUAAAGCUAGUAUUUGCUUUGCUAGCUGGACUGAGCUGGGCUAUAAGUUGUCUGACCUUUAUCCCGUACACAACAGGAACUACAGGAGGUUUUCAAGAAAGGGAGUGAAGUCAGAUUCAUAGUUGAGAAAAACAUUCUAGUAACUAAGUGGUGAGUAGAAUGAAGAAUGGGAGCACUGAUUGGAAAGCAUUUAUAAUAGAUGGUGGAGGGCAAGUUUUAGGAAGCAGGCAGUGAUUGUGAUGUCAGAAUCAAUUUGUAUGAUAUUUAAAUAGUCCACCCGGAACUCAGUAAAGCAAAGAUUGUUGAAGAGGGUGAGCUUGAGAGACUGGAUGGAUGUUGAUAACAUUAAUUGUGUGAGGGUAUAAUCUCUUUGCUGAGAUUUUAAGUACGGUAAUUUUCUGACGUGAUACCUGUAUUCAUAGCGUAACCCGUGACCCUAUUUGGAUAGCCCUUAUGCCUCUGUAUUAUGAUUGUCAGUCACUUCCCUGAACUAUAAACUUCUUGAGGUCAGAGAUAAGUUUUAAUGGUUCUUCUUGUUCCACAGCUUCUGACACAGGGCUUAGUUAUGUAGUCGGUGCUUGGUAGAUUUUGGAUGUUUAGACGUGGAUGCAUCAGCCAUCUACUUAAGAAUUCCUCUUUUGAAUUCUUCCUCUGCACAAGAAGAUCUUUGUUUCUUAACCCAAAGAAGACCAGCUCUUCUGUCCCAGAUGAAUAUCGUCCUAUUGCAACAUGACCAGCCUGCAGCUCUUGCCCCAUGUAUCACUUUUAUACACAAGUUCGACAAGACCCGAACCAGCCAGUACCUUCUCCCAGGAGACGAGCCCACUCAGCCUGCAUUUCGAUGGAUCAGCCGUGUCACAUUGCUGUAGAAAUUUCUAAAUACUUAUUCUUUUUAUUUUGUUUCUUAUUUCACAGGGGACCCACAACAGUCUCUGGUGAACAGCAUACUCUGAGUAGCACCGUUCUAGUCUUUGUAUACCAGGAAUGUUUCACAGUAAAUGUUUAAAUCAUUUUGGACAUAUUUAUGUUUUCAAAGUAUCUUAUGUUAACUCAUUUACCCAAUUCUGCAUAUUCGCUCUUACAAGUGGGUGAUUCUUGUAUUCCACAAAUUUAUCUCCAUCUUGGAGCUUUGUUAGGUGCUCCUGAAAAUUCAGUGGUAAGACUUGUUCUUGCCUUGUCUCAGCCAGUGAAUAUUCAAAGAUGUGUAAUUCAUAGACUUUUCUUUCAAAGGAGCUCCCAUUUUAGAGUGGAGCUAGAACUAAUAGUUUGUGUUCCAUACCAGGCGUAUAAGAUAAAUGCUACAGAAACGCUGAAAGGAGUCAUGAUUUGUAAUUGGGCAGGUUGAAAGGUUUUAUAGAAGAGUGGCUCAUCUGAACAAGGUUUUCUUCAAGGAUGAGUAGGGAGUUUUCAGGGUGACAGAGGGAUAAAGUCAAAGGAAAAAAGCAUGAGCACAAAUGAGGAGAGAUGGCACACAGCACCUGCUGAGAAGUGAUCAGCAGAUGGGUGGGUUCUAGAAUGCACCCAGGGAGGUGAGGUUAGAAAGGUAGAAUGAAGCAAGACAGUAUAAGGCUUUGAUUUUCACACUAAUAAUUUUGAGCUUUUUCUUAUUCACAUGAGAAGAUUUUAAGGCAUGAUCAGUUUUGGUUAGAGCCCAGGCGCAUAAAGAGUGGGUUACGAAAGGGAGAGACUAGAAGGGGAGAGAUUAGUUAAGAGGUUGUCAAAACAGUCUAAAUAAGAGAUGAUAACGACCUCAACUAUAGCAGUGGCUCUGGGAAUUUAGAGGAGGGAAUAACUCUGAGGACUGUCUCAGAGGUGAAAGUGAAUGAGUGGGGUUUGGGAAGAGAUGGGGGGCCAGGUGAGGAGCACGAGCUUUUUUUUUUUCUUUUUACAUGGACAAACUGAAUCACAGGGAGGGACAUGUUUUCCUGUGGAUGAAGAUACAGAUAAUUUUUGCAUCCAAGAGGAGAGAGAAGCAUCACUCUCGAUAGCCUUAAUAUUCUGUUCUCAAAAUAACAUUAUUUUAGGAAUGAGAGUAUAAGAAAUAAAAUUAAGGACAGUGGGAAAAUAUAAAUUUGUCUUGGGGAAUGUGAUGGGGCCUUCUGUAUUAUAACAGCUAGAAUCUUGACUGACAGUUUUCUGAUAUAGACCUUUAGUUCUCAUGUUUGAACUCCCUAUAUUCAUUUGUUCAUUCUUCAAUAUUUAUUGACAGCUUACCUUGUAAGAAUCAUUGUAUUAUGAGUUGUGGAUAGAAAUACAAGACAUAAAUCCUGCCCUCAGGUAGCUCACGUUUUAAAAUGGAGGACAGGCACUUAAAUACAGCAGUGUGGUUGCAGUGGGUAGGCUCACAGGAGCCGUAGCAAAAUUAGCAAAUCUUGCUGAGAAUGUGGGGCCAUGAAAGUCAAUGAAGGAGAAUAGUUUUUGUUUUUUGUUUUGAUAGGGACAGGGUCCCCUUCUGUUACCCAGGCUGGGGUGCACUUGUGUGACCAUAGCUCACUGCUGCUUUAGACACUUGGGUUUAAUACCACCUCAGCCUCCGGAGUAGGUAGGAUUAUUAUUAUUAUUAUUAUUAUUUAUUUAUUUAUUUAUUUAUUUUUUUGAGAGCCAAGGUCUCACUUUGUUGGCCAGGCCAGUCUCCAACUCAUGGCCUCAAGCAAUCCUCCUGCCUCAGCCUCCCAAAGCACUGGGAUUACAGGUGUGAGCCACCAUGCCUGGCCUAGAAUACUGUUAGGAGAUGAGAACCUGCUAGCCGGUGAAAACAAGAGAGACAUUCCAAGAAGGGACUGUAGGGUUUAGAGGAAGAGAUGGCUGGGGCCAGAUUCUCAGAGGCUGGGUUCUAUAUGACAUGUGAGAAUUUGUGGUUGAGUGAGAAAGAGAGGAACAGCGAUUAAAGGGUUUACCCUUCAGUGGAGGAGUAACCAACCAAAUGGAGUUUCAGUGGGAUUGUGCUGGCCAUUAUGGAGAAGGGGAUCUGAGACGUAGAGAAGAAGGGAGACACCUGAGAGACGGUGCAGUGGUUCAGGUGAGAAGUAUUUGGAAUCUGAACUAGAUCAGCAAUAUUGGGGACAGACUAAAGAGUUAAUAAAUAGUUAGAAAGUAAAAUUGGUAGGACAUCGAGGUGGAUUCAAGUCAGAAAGUAGGACAGAGGCAAGGAGUUCGAGGUGACACAGGUUCAAGCUUGAGCUACGUACAUAGUGGAAGCAUCGCUAAGAGCCUGUGCGUGCUGGGAAGAAGGAUGAUGAGUUCAGCUCCAGAAACCAUAUGAGGUGCCUGGAGAUCUUUAGCAGGCAGUUAUGUACUCAGAUGCAAAGGUCUGUGGAGAAAUUAAAGCCGGAUAGAACUUUGGGAAUCAUCAGCAUUUAGGAAUAGAUUGUUAAAAUGGAUAAUGGAGGUAUUUACGUAGGCCGAACAAAGAGAAUUUCAAACACCUGCAUCCUGUUUAAUUCUUCAGUUUAAAUUUACCAACAAACAUAAAAGGUAGGAGAUUGGGCUGCUUUCAGGGCAUUGAGCUCAAAAGACAGAAAGAGGCAAUUUAUGUGUCACUUAAUGUUUAUCUUACGCUUGCCUACCGGGAAGAGUGAAAAGAUGUUAAAGAAAAAGAGGGAAUCUUUUCAUUCCUUGAACUGUUGUGUUGAAUAAAUUUUAAAGAAAAAGAAGCAAAAUGAAAUAACUUGAGAACAAGAACCUAACCGCAUAUGAACAUAAUUUACAUGCCAUAAAAUACCAUUUUCAAUGUACAAUUAAACGAUUUUUAUAAAAUUUACAUAAGCCAUAUUUUUUAAAGUAUUAAAAGACAGUUAUGAGCUAAGCUUUUAAGUACAGUGAUGAUUGAGAGUGUGGUAAAAAUACUGCAGGUAGCAUUUAAUUAGGGAAAUUCCUGCCAGUUGAAAGAUGUGGAUGGGGAUUGGCAGAGAUUGAAGGAACAGCCAUUUUGUGCCAGACACUCUGCUGGAAGAGGAGCAGAUAAACGGGCGAGUCUGGGAGCAUUUUAAGCAGCAUUUAAAGGAUAAUAAGGUCGUGUCUUCACUAAGCCAUUGACACGAAUGUGAUACUUUUAUAUUUGUUUCUGUUUUCUGACUUUAGCCCUAGGAAAAUAAAGGGUCAUACUAGCAUUGCAGUUAUUUUCUCACAUAAAAAAUUAUAUUUGGCUGCUUCUAAUUGGAAGUAUCUAUUUUAAGCUCAACCAACCCUAACAUCUCAGGUAACUGUGGGCAGAACUUCACAUAUUAUAAGCUUCUUAAUCUGUAAAAAAAAAAAAAAAAAAAGAAA